GAUGAACGCUGGCGGCGUGCCUAACACAUGCAAGUCGAACGGACAUUUUUUGGAAAGCUCUUCGGAACUGGAAUCUAAAUGUUAGUGGCGGACGGGUGAGUAACGCGUGAGCAAUCUGCCUUUCAGAGGGGGACAACAGCUGGAAACGGCUGCUAAUACCGCAUGACGCAUGACUGGGGCAUCCCGGACAUGCCAAAGAUUUUAUCGCUGAAAGAUGGCCUCGCGUCUGAUUAGCUGGUUGGUGAGGUAACGGCCCACCAAGGCGACGAUCAGUAGCCGGACUGAGAGGUUGACCGGCCACAUUGGGACUGAGAUACGGCCCAG
rnacentral:rRNA from 1 species